rnacentral:rRNA from 1 species
GAUGAACGCUAGCGGCAGGCUUAAUACAUGCAAGUCGAGGGGCAGCAGCUUUAUAGCAAUAUAGAGGCUGGCGACCGGCAAACGGGUGCGGAACACGUACACAACCUUCCUUUAAGAGGGGGAUAGCCCAUAGAAAUGUGGAUUAAUACCCCGUAACAUAUCGGUAUGGCAUCACACUGUUAUUAUAGUUUCGACGCUUGAAGAUGGGUGUGCGGCUGAUUAGGUAGUUGGCGGGGUAAAGGCCCACCAAGCCUUCGAUAAGUGGCUGAUUUGAGAGCAUGAUCAGCCAAACGAGCACUGAGACACGGGCCCGACUCCUACGGGAGGCAGCAGUAAGGAAUAUUGGUCAAUGGACGCAAGUCUGAACCAGCCAUGCCGCGUGAAGGAUGAAGGUCCUCUGGAUUGUAAACUUCUUUUAUAGGGGGCGAAAAAAGGGAAUUCUUUCUCACUUGACAGUACCCUAUGAAUAAGCACCGGCUAACUCCGUGCCAGCCGCCGCGGUAA